GGGGCCAUAGCUCAGCUGGGAGAGCGCCGCCUUUGCAAGGCGGAGGUCGUCGGUUCGAUCCCGACUGGCUCCA
rnacentral:tRNA from 2 species